GAUGAACGCUGACAGAAUGCUUAACACAUGCAAGUCAACUUGAAUUUGGGUUUUUAACUUAGGUUUGGGUGGCGGACGGGUGAGUAACGCGUAAAGAACUUGCCUCACAGCUAGGGACAACAUUUGGAAGCGAAUGCUAAUACCUAAUAUUAUGAUAAUAGGGCAUCCUAUAAUUAUGAAAGCUAUAAGCGCUGUGAGAGAGCUUUGCGUCCCAUUAGCUAGUUGGAGAGGUAACGGCUCACCAAGGCGAUGAUGGGUAGCCGGCCUGAGAGGGUGAUCGGCCACAAGGGGACAGAGACACGGCCCUUACUCCUACGGGAGGCAGCAGUGGGGAAUAUUGGACAAUGGACCGAGAGUCUGAUCCAGCAAUUCUGUGUGCACGAUGAAGUUUUUCGGAAUGUAAAGUGCUUUCAGUUGGGAAGAAACAAAUGACGGUACCAACAGAAGAAGUGACGGCUAAAUACGUG
rnacentral:rRNA from 1 species